AUACGUAUCCACGUAUCAACCGAAUCGUGAACAUGUUAGACGCCUUGAGUUGAGAGUAUUUGCGGUUUCAGCGGUCUCUUUCCUUGCGGAGAGAGAAAAAAUGAUGAUGUAGCGCUGACCGGUCCUAGUUUUCUUCACGGAAAGCUAGCUCAACCAAGUGCGGUUUUUUCUUUCUUCUACAUCAUCUUACUUACCAUUUAUUAACCCCAUGUACACAAUUCUGAACUGAAUAAAUUCUUCCGACUCACAACUCUUAACCGAGUUGUUGAGAAAGAAGUCUCAAUACGAAACUAAAAAA
rnacentral:misc_RNA from 1 species